AGGCCACAAAACUGCAGCACAAACUGAGAACAUGAGCCAAGGAGCAAGUCAUUGGAAAGCAUUCAUUAAAGAGCUGCUACGACCCAAGUUCAAGUUAUUGGCCUUGCUGUUACCAUGGUAAUGAUGGAUGACAUCAUUGAAUUCAGAAGCAGGUAAUUCCCCCAUAUAAUACAUAUGUUUUGGAGGUUACUCAAAGA
rnacentral:lncRNA from 12 species